rnacentral:rRNA from 1 species
UACGUAGGGGGCGAGCGUUGUCCGGAUUUAUUGGGCGUAAAGAGCGUGUAGGCGGCCAGGUAGGUCUGCUGUGAAAACUCGAGGCUCAACCUCGAGACGUCGGCGGAAACCAUCUGGCUAGAGUCCGAAAGAGGAGAGUGGAAUUCCUGGUGUAGCGGUGAAAUGCGCAGAUAUCAGGAAGAACACCCGUGGCGAAGGCGGCUCUCUGGGACGGUACUGACGCUGAGACGCGAAAGCGUGGGGAGCGAACAGG